rnacentral:rRNA from 1 species
AUUGAACGCUGGCGGCAUGCCUUACACAUGCAAGUCGAACGGUAACAGGUCUUCGGAUGCUGACGAGUGGCGAACGGGUGAGUAAUACAUCGGAACGUGCCUAGUAGUGGGGGAUAACUACUCGAAAGAGUGGCUAAUACCGCAGAGAUCUACGGAUGAAAGCAGGGGAUCGCAAGACCUUGUGCUAAUAGAGCGGCCGAUGGCAGAUUAGGUAGUUGGUGGGAUAAAAGCUUACCAAGCCGACGAUCUGUAGCUGGUCUGAGAGGACGAUCAGCCACACUGGGACUGAGACACGGCCCAGACUCCUACGGGAGGCAGCAGUGGGGAAUUUUGGACAAUGGGCGAAAGCCUGAUCCAGCAAUGCCGCGUGCAGGAUGAAGGCCUUCGGGUUGUAAACUGCUUUUGUACGGAACGAAAAGCCCCGGGUUAAUACCCUGGGGUCAUGACGGUACCGUAAGAAUAAGCACCGGCUAACUACGUGCCAGCAGCCGCAGUAA